rnacentral:rRNA from 1 species
AUUGAACGCUGGCGGCAUGCCUUACACAUGCAAGUCGAACGGCAGCACGGGGGCAACCCUGGUGGCGAGUGGCGAACGGGUGAGUAAUGCAUCGGAACGUGCCCAGUAGUGGGGGAUAACCGGGCGAAAGCCGGGCUAAUACCGCAUACGACCUACGGGUGAAAGCGGGGGACCGUAAGGCCCUGCGCAAUUGGAGCGGCUCAUGUCUGAUUAGCUAGUUGGCGGGGUAAAGGCCCACCAAGGCGACGAUCAGUAGCUGUUCUGAGAGGACGACCAGCCACACUGGGACUGAGACACGGACCAGAUUCCUACGGGAGGCAGCAGUGGGGAAUUUUGGACAAUGGGCGCAAGCCUGAUCCAGCCAUGCCGCGUGCGGGAAGAAGGCCUUCGGGUUGUAAACCGCUUUUGGCAGGAACGAAACGGCGCAAGCCAAUACCUUGCGCUAAUGACGGUACCUGCAGAAUCAGCACCGGCUAACUACGUGCCAGCAGCCGCGGUAAAAC